rnacentral:lncRNA from 1 species
UAUUAUUGAGAUAGAAUAGUAUGGUCAAUAUCAAAAUCAAACACAUUAUUUAGGUUGACGAAUGUUGACCAUAUCAAAAAGCAGAAAGGGAGAUAGAUUCAUCUAUGUUAUAGUUUGUCUAGUCUUGAUAUAUAAUAUGCAUCAUUAGACAUUCGUACUUUGAAUCUUUGAUUGCUAGAUAUAGAUCAAUCAUUCUAAUGCCUGAAAGAUACCACCGAGCCA